rnacentral:rRNA from 1 species
GAUGAACGCUGGCUACAGGCUUAACACAUGCAAGUCGAGGGGAAACGGCAUUGAGUGCUUGCACUGAAUGGACGUCGACCGGCGCACGGGUGAGUAACGCGUAUCCAACCUUCCCGUUACUGCGGGAUAACCUGCCGAAAGGCAGACUAAUACCGCAUGUUCUUCGAUGACGGCAUCAGAUUCGAAGCAAAGAUCCGUCGGUAGCGGAGGGGGAUGCGUCUGAUUAGCUAGUUGGCGGGGCGACGGCCCACCAAGGCGACGAUCAGUAGGGGUUCUGAGAGGAAGGUCCCCCACAUUGGAACUGAGACACGGUCCAAACUCCUACGGGAGGCAGCAGUGAGGAAUAUUGGUCAAUGGGCGGAAGCCUGAACCAGCCAAGUAGCGUGCAGGAUGACGGCCCUACGGGUUGUAAACUGCUUUUAUGCGGGGAUAAAGUGAGGGACGCGUCCCUUUUUGCAGGUACCGCAUGAAUAAGGACCGGCUAAUUCCGUG